CCCCUCCCCCAACAGAGAACUCUCUCCCUCUCUCCCUCACCAAAAAUCCUCUCAUCUCUCUCUCGGCCUUGGACCGCCGAUCAUCGCCGGAGCAUCGCCGGAGCAAGCCGCCACCGCCGAUCGCCGCCGGCCAGCCGUUCCCCCUUGCCGCUCUAGCCGAGUUAGUCUAGAGUUCGGAGCCCCUGCCUGAAUGUCGAGAUUGAGGUCGACUCGGAGUCGUCAGGUGAGCAGACAGCUGCGGAGGAUUGAGGUGGUGAUGCAGAGGACAGUGAGUCAGAGUGGACGCCUUCGAGAGGGCGUAGGGGAUAGUUCUGGGAGGAGGAUGCGCCCCAUUUUUGGAUAGUGCUGACCUAGAGAGUUGAUCUUGAUAUUUUGGUGGUUUGGAGUUUAUAGUUCGGUGUGCUUAUAAAUUAUUUUGUGGUUUGUAUUGCCGGAUGAUGUAAAUAUUUGGAAGUGUAAUAUAUGCUUGGUGGUUUGACGAUUUGUUCC